AGCGAACGCUGGCGGCAGGCUUAACACAUGCAAGUCGAGCGGGCCCUUCGGGGUCAGCGGCGGACGGGUGAGUAACGCGUGGGAACGUGCCCUCUGGUCUGGUAUAACCCUGGGAAACUAGGGCUAAUACCGGAUACGCCCUUUUGGGGAAAGGCUUGCUGCCGGAGGAUCGGCCCGCGUCUGAUUAGCUAGUUGGUGGGGUAACGGCCUACCAAGGCGACGAUCAGUAGCUGGUCUGAGAGGAUGAUCAGCCACACUGGGACUGAGACACGGCCCAGACUCCUACGGGAGGCAGCAGUGGGGAAUAUUGGACAAUGGGCGCAAGCCUGAUCCAGCCAUGCCGCGUGAGUGAUGAAGGCCUUAGGGUUGUAAAGCUCUUUCGCCGGGGAAGAUAAUGACGGUACCCGGAAAAGAAGCCUCGGCUAACUCCGUGCCAGCAGCCGCCGUAA
rnacentral:rRNA from 1 species